rnacentral:rRNA from 1 species
UACGUAGGGUGCGAGCGUUGUCCGGAAUUACUGGGCGUAAAGAGCUCGUAGGUGGUUUGUCGCGUUGUCCGUGAAAACUCACAACUCAAUUGUGGGCGUGCGGGCGAUACGGGCAGACUGGAGUACUGCAGGGGAGACUGGAAUUCCUGGUGUAGCGGUGGAAUGCGCAGAUAUCAGGAGGAACACCGGUGGCGAAGGCGGGUCUCUGGGCAGUAACUGACGCUCAGGCACGAAAGCGUGGGGAGCAAAAGGG